rnacentral:rRNA from 1 species
UACGUAGGGGGCAAGCGUUGUCCGGAAUCAUUGGGCGUAAAGAGCGUGUAGGUGGCUCGGUAAGUCCGCUGUAAAAGUCCAGGGCUCAACCCUGGAAAGCCGGUGGAAACUGUCGAGCUAGAGUCCGGAAGAGGCGAGUGGAAUUCCUGGUGUAGCGGUGAAAUGCGCAGAUAUCAGGAGGAACACCGAUGGCGAAGGCAGGUCUCUGGGCCGAUACUGACGCUGAGGAGCGAAAGCGUGGGGAGCGAACAGG